rnacentral:lncRNA from 1 species
GCUCUGCAAAAUCCUGGUCCCGUUAGCUAGAGAGGGUUGUGGAAACAAAUGAACCUGGUUCACUGACUUGGCCUCUAAUCCCAGACUGAGGUUUACCCGAAGGGCGACAGACCAAGUUCCCUUCUAUCUCUGGACAUGUCUCUAGCCCGGACGCCGCCCAUCUCCAUCACCGAAUCCCACGCUUGCCCACCACCAUGGCCAGCAGUUCAUUAGAGGGGACCCAACUACUUCAAUCGGAAAUGGAGGCGGACAUCUCUUAAUCGAAGUAGCCUUGUUGAGCCGACAGAUUGACAGCCAAGGCAGAGCUCACCACCACCAGGAGGAAGUUUACUGCCUCACAGGUGCCAUCUGACGGUAGCAGCUGAACGGAACCUUAGUAGGUCUUUUGUGACAGCUUUGAGCGCCACUGAAAAUAAGCUUCGCACAAAUUGCUUUUUCUUAGUUCGAUGCUCCGGUUGUCCAAGGUUGUUGAUUCACACAUGACCUCGGUUCCAGCCCAGUUCUUCAUUCUGGUCUUCUUAUCAAUCUGCCACGCUACUGGCUUAAACCCAGAUGGUCCUUGUAAGGUGGCCACUCUACUGAACACAGCUGGCUGUUACUGACGGUUACUACUUCGGAGCUACAAUUCUUCCGUCUGUCAUCCAUCCCAGAGACCAAAUCAGUAAGACAUGGAAUCUUCAUCAGUCAAGAGCCAAGUACUUUGAAGUAUUCAUAUAUACCAGCUGCAAGAAACAUACCACGGCUACACUUAAACCUAAACACGUGGACCGCAUGAUAUUACUGCUAAAUUGGAUUUAUUAAGGUUCACAAUUUCUUGGAGGCAACUAUAUGUAUUUAGGCAAUUUCUAGGAUGAUAGAAAGUAAAAAAAGGAGGAUAUCUAAACUGAUGCUUUCAUUUUUUUUAGUAAUUGAUUUUCUAAAAGAAUAGGACUUACUCUGUCUAUUUUUAAACUAGGAUGUAUGUUUUGAGUUGAUUUUCCGAUAACGGAGAUGAGUUUUCCUCAAUACAUGUGUGUAAUGGUUCUAUGAAUAAUAGCACACAUUGGCGAGAGAGCUGGCCAAGGCGAGAAGAAUGUUCAUUCACGUAAAGGUAAUAUGGUCAGAUCACAAUGAACUUGUGGAAAGUUCACAGUAGCACCAUGUUAUACCCAAACCAUACGAAUAAAUCUGAAUGUGGAAUAAUUAUACUCA